rnacentral:rRNA from 1 species
AGGAUUAACGCUGGCGGCGUGCAUGAAACAUGCAAGUCGAGCGCGGUGUGAUGCGGGGUAACCCGAAUUCACAUCUAGCGGCGAACGGGUGAGUAACACGUGGGCAAUCUGCCCCUAGCACUGGGAUAACUCCGGGAAACCGGGGCUAAUACCGGAUAUGACCUCUGAGGGCAUCCUCUGGAGGUGGAAAGGAUCCUGGCUAGGGAUGAGCCCCGCGGCCUAUCAGCUUGUUGGUGGGGUAACAGCCUACCAAGGCGACGACGGGUA